rnacentral:rRNA from 1 species
UGGGGAAUAUUGCGCAAUGGGGGCAACCCUGACGCAGCAACGCCGCGUGAAUGAUGAAGGUCUUCGGAUCGUAAAGUUCUGUCGAAGGGGAAGAAGAAAUGACGGUACCCUUAGAGGAAGCCCCGGCUAACUACGUGCCAGCAGCCGCGGUAAUACGUAGGGGGCAAGCGUUGUCCGGAUUUACUGGGCGUAAAGGGCGUGUAGGCGGUUUUUUAAGUCAGGUGUGAAAGUUCGGGGCUUAACCCCGGAAUUGCAUUUGAAACUGGAGAACUUGAGUACUGGAGAGGUAAGUGGAAUUCCUAGUGUAGCGGUGAAAUGCGUAGAUAUUAGGAGGAACACCAGUGGCGAAGGCGACUUACUGGACAGAUACUGACGCUGAGGCGCGAAAGCGUGGGGAGCG